rnacentral:rRNA from 1 species
GGGAUUGCCUCAGUAACGGCGAGUGAAGCGGCAACAGCUCAAAUUUGAAAUCUGGCCCCUUUGGGGUCCGAGUUGUAAUUUGUAGAGAGUGUUUCGGGCAAGACCAUAGUUUAAGUUCAUUGGAACAUGGCGUCAUAGAGGGUGAGAAUCCCGUAUGUGACUAUGGCUCGAGCCCAUGUGAAGCCUCUUCGACGAGUCGAGUUGUUUGGGAAUGCAGCUCAAAAUGGGUGGUAAAUUUCAUCUAAAGCUAAAUAUUGGCUGGAGACCGAUAGCGCACAAGUAGAGUGAUCGAAAGAUGAAAAGCACUUUGGAAAGAGAGUCAAACAGUACGUGAAAUUGUUGAAAGGGAAGCGCUUGCAACCAGACCUGCCCGCAGGCGAUCAGCCGCUGUUUUCAGUGGUGCACUCGCUCUGUGAUCAGGCCAGCAUCGGUUUUGGCGGCCGGAUAAAGGCCUUGGGAAUGUAGCUUCCUUUCGGGGGAGUCUUAUAGCCCUCGGUGCAAUGCGGCCAGCCGGGACCGAGGACCGCGCUUCGGCUAGGAUGCUGGCGUAAUGGUUGUAAGCGACCCGUCUUGAAACACGGACCAAGGAGUCUAACAUUUAUGCGAGUGUUUGGGUGUCAAACCCAUGCGCGGAAUGAAAGUGAACGGAGGUGAGAACCCUCAAGGGCGCAUCAUCGACCGAUCCAGAUGUCUUCGGAUGGAUUUGAGUAUGAGCAUAACUGUUGGGACCCGAAAGAUGGUGAACUAUGCCUGAAUAGGGUGAAGCCAGAGGAAACUCUGGUGGAGGCUGCGCACGCGGUUCUGANCGUGCAAAUCGAUCGUCAAAUUUGGGUAUAGA